rnacentral:rRNA from 1 species
GACGAACGCUGGCGGCGUGCUUAACACAUGCAAGUCGAACGGAAAGGCCCUGCUUUUGUGGGGUGCUCGAGUGGCGAACGGGUGAGUAACACGUGAGUAACCUGCCCUUGACUUUCGGAUAACUUCAGGAAACUGGGGCUAAUACCGGAGAGAAGCUCCUGCAGCACGGUGGGGGUUGGAAAGUUUCGGCGGUUGGGGAUGGAUUCGCGGCUUAUCAGCUUGUUGGUGGGGUAGUGGCUUACCAAGGCUUUGAGGGGUAGCCGGCCUGAGAGGGUGACCGGCCACAAUGGGACUGCGGGACGGAGCAGACUCCUACGGGAGGCAGCAGGGGAGAGUCUGGCGCAACGAGCGGGAGUCUGAUGCAACGGCGCUCCGUGCGGGAUGACGGCCUACGGGUUAUAAACCGCUUUCGCCUGUGACGAAGCGUUAGUGACGGUAAUGAGUAAAGAAGCACCGGCUAACUACGUG